UACAGAGACCUCAAGCGUUAUCCGGAUUUAUUGGGCGUAAAGAGCUGGUAGGUGGUUAUAUUAGUCAGGUGUCAAAUCUUCGAGCUCAACUCGAAAACUGCAUUUGAAACGGUAUAACUAGAGGGUGUGAGAGAUCUAUGGAACUCAUGGUGUAGCAGUGAAAUGCGUUGAUAUCAUGAGGAACACCAAAGGCGAAGGCAUUAGAUUGGCACACUCCUGACACUGAGCAGCGAAAGCGUGGGUAGCGAAUGGG
rnacentral:rRNA from 1 species